CGGUACAGGAGUUUCUAACUCUAAUAUUAAAUAUUAGAGUUAGAAACUCCUGUACCGG
rnacentral:tRNA from 1 species